CGUCCUUAAAUUCCUUCAUUAUUUACGUCCCUUCCAUUACCAGCUGUCAGUUUUUCAUUAACAUAGAUCCAGAUGUCCCCUUCCCUGUCUUCGUCCUUCUACUUCCCCCUCUGCAAUGGCGUUCUUCACCUUUCUCGGUUUUUUCUCUCCAUCUUCCCAUGUCUUCGUACAGCUCCUCUAUUCCUCCUCUAUCUUCUCUCUCCUUCGCCUAUUUCCCAUCAAUACUCUGAAUUAACAGUAAACCCUAAAUCCCUAAUUUUGGGAUUUCAAUGAACCAGAAGAAUCACAAGAUUCCAAGCAAUGCCUUAAGGUGUCCACCCCUCUUUCUUUUUCUUCGUGCGGCUGAUUUCCUUUCCUCGACAUGCCGUAGGUGCCUCCACCCUCCUCUUCAUCGCGGUGGCCCCUCCGCCAUCUUCUCUCCUACCUUUCUUCUUCGAUCUGCUGGUAAAUGCGAGUAUCCAACUUCUGGUUAUUAAAGAAGCAUGGUUGGAUGGAAAGCACAGGUUUUGGUUAUUUUCAAGAGGUUCAUUUUCACUUGCACUCAUCCAAUUAUUCUAUUUUAGGGUUUUUUUUAUUGUUGUCGAACACUUUUUUGAUCUCUAACAAUCACAAAUUUAUCAUUGAAAUUUGCAAUUCAAUUUAAUUGAUUCAUAGUACAAGACGAUGAUUGAGUAUUGCUUAAUUCUGCAAUAUUGUUACUUUCAUUUGGGUAUUGCUCAAUUUUAUGUGUUUCUUAUGUAUUUGAUUGUGGGGGUACUGCUAUCAAAUCAUCAUUUGAUCUAGGUUUUGCUUAAUUUGAUUCUUGCUUAAUUUGAUUGUGGGUAGUGAUUUACAGUCGCUAAUUUAUCUGGAUCUCUAAUUAUGGGAAUUUUCCAAACUUUAUGGUUAAGUUAUGGUUUGGUGUCCUUUUAAUGUCGAAACAACAUAAUAUCAGGAACCAAACUGAAUAUCCAAUUCCACUUUUCUGGAGGGACGAAGUAUGGUGGUUGCAAAGGUUAUGUUUUGUGCCUCGGUGGCUUUUGUGAUGGUUAACUAUCACAUUUUUUUUAAGCUCUUGACUUUCCUUUGGUACUUGGGGGGUUUUGUGUGUUUUUUCUGUGAGUGGUUGCUAUUUUGGUACUUCUAGCUUCCGAGUUUAGCUAUCCCUUCAAGUGAGUGGGUUCCUGUGCAUAAUGUAUCCAUUUGUAGGGGGUCAAUUUGAAUUCUAUAAAGAGGGAUAUGACAUGCCUGCCCAAAGUGCUUUCUACUGUUUGGUCACUUGGUGGCCUUUAAGUUCACUCAUGUAACUCCACUUCAGUAACAACAUUCUAGAUUUAUGGGAACAAAAUAACUCUAUAUACGUUAUAUAGAAAUAGCAUUUGCUAGAAAGGGUCAAAGGGAUAGGAGGGAAAACAAGCACAUAUCAAUAAGUUCCUAACAAUGUUGUACCCUUGUACAACUCUACUGCAUGAUAAGAUGUUAUUACUAUAUCAGGAACUUAUUGAAGUUUGUCAUCAGCCUUCUUCCCCAUUCUUCGGGGAAAGUUUGUUAUAUAUAAGGGAGCUAACUCAUUUUUAACAUCUGGAAGAGGAAGAAAAGUAAAAGGAUGAGAGUGUUUGUGACUCCCUUGUUUACUUAGAAGUGAAAACAAAGAGGUAAAGGAGAUGUUGAGAUUAAUACAAUGUAUUCAUUUGAAAGGAUUAUUUAGUGGCAUAAGAAGAGACGGGACCUCUAAUUUUUCCCUAGGUUUUUUGCAUAACAUUUCCAUUGGGCAUUUUGGGGUUGAGAAAUGACGAGUGUCCAAGAGGGAGAGGUAUCCUAAAGCUUGCAAAAUUAGGAUGUACCAUGUCCUGCUGAAGUUUGGCUUAUUAACAUUUUUCAACUGGUCGAGAGCUUAUGCAAGGGUGAAGCUUGAGCUACUGAAGUUAAGGCCUUAUGUUACCUUCUUCUUCAAGAAAUUAAAUAAAGCUUUGCUUAAUAUAUAUAUAUUGUCAAUAUUAUAUGAUUGAAAAAUUUUAUAUGCUGUUAGUUGAUAUAUGAUAUAUCAUUUCCCUAGGCUUAUGGGUUAUGUUUUUUCUGCAUUGUUAGCUAAAGUAUUUCCGAUACCCAUUUCUCAAAAGCGUAUUGGUGUUUAUAAUGUAUAAGAUGUCCACAUAUAUUACUUCCAUUAAAUCAAUGAAGUCUGUUAUGAAAGUUGAACACUGUUUUUGUCGUUAUACUCCGAGCUCCAUCUUGAAUUUAAUGGUGUUUUCAUUAGAGUAUUCCCCCCCCCCCCCCCCCCCCCCCCCCUUAAAAUGGCUUUCAUGUAUUAAUGUACCACUGCUCGUUUUCUUAUCAUUUACUUUUUGUAGCAAUUGAUUUUAUUUUAGUUAGGUUGGCAUCUAAUCAUCUAUGACCGUUUAGUUUUGCUUGAAGAAAGGGGGUUUUUUAGCACAAUUUUUAGUUUGGACUUAGGGUCUUUUUUUUUUGAACAUAAUUGUAAAAUUCAUGUAUAGUUUAAAUAGCUUAUGGCUUCUUUGUAAAUCGACUUUAGGCAUUAGACAAAAUCAUAUUGUCAUGUUGUUAAGUUUUUUUAUUUCCACUUGCCUUGGACAUUAGGGGAAUGUUAAGUGAGAUAUUGUCGUCUUUGAGAUUCCAAGGGGAAGCCACCUGGUGUAAUAUUGAGUUUCUGGUCUGCAAAGGCUAUUACAUUUCUUGAUAAUCAUGACACUGGCUCAGCGCAGGUACUUUACUUACUGUAUAUUGAUGCAAUAAUAAGUCAAAUGCAUAUUCUAGAAAAUUCUUGCAUGCCGUAAGUUGGAAUGUUGGACCAUAGAUGGAAUAAUAUGUGGAAGGCAAACCACCGAAAGUAAAUUGGACUAUAAGUUUAGUUCAAGCAGUUUCUCCUUGAUUUUUUUCAUUUUUACUGUGUAAUAUACUUCGUAUGUUUUUUCCUUCGUUAUUUUUCACUUUUACUUCGUAUAUUUGACUACACGUAAGCAAACAAUGUGAACAUUAGUUUCUAUUUGGAGAACAAAGAUAAUUUGACUGUGGAGGUUAGACUUGGUAAAGAGGUUGAGUUAAAUGAACGUGCUUGGAAAAGUCCGUAUGAACAACCUUUAAUGUAGCUAGGUCUGCAACAAGCCACCAAGGUUACUUGUGCACUACUUCCAGCAUAUUGAGUAUUUGGGUCAGAGAAUGGGAGUAAUUUUGGAACAUAUUCAUGGUUUGGAUUAUUGGAGAGUAGUCUUGGGAAUUUGGGUAGACGACCCGUCUCCUACCCUUAUAUGAGUAUCAAAUUUGAUUUAUGCUAGAAGUUGAAUAGUGCCUUCAUGACUAAAUCAUGUUCACUAUGUUUCUUUUUGUGGUCUGUAAAUCUGUAAUUAACUCUAUGUUAGUGAAAUACAAAAUAUUCAUCCAUUUGUAGAAGCUUCUUUUGUCCUUAAAAAUUAUGACUUUAUCAGUAAUAAUUCUUGUGGGAGAAAGAGUGAAAACAGAGAAGACAGGGUUAUAGAUAGAGGGAUAAAAAGUAAGUUGUACCUAAAGAUGACAGUUAGAGAGAGAAGGGGAGAGGGAGAGGGAGUGAAGAAGAUAUAUAUGGAUAGACACUAGAAUUUAGAGACAAGAUUCUUAAACAAUUGUGUUUUAUCAGUAAUAAUACUAUCUUUAGUUUUUUUACUUUGUUCCGAUUUUGGUAGCAUAUCAUUUAUGAACACCCUGAUGCAAUGUUAUUCAUGCAAAAUACAGAGUAUAGUGUUUUGGGGCAAUAUUAUGAGUACACUACACAUGGUUUAUGUCUUUUCGAGUUUCCUACCUAAAACUUUCUUGCCUUUUCUGCAUCAAAUGCUACUUAUCUGGUUGCCUUUGUGUUCUUGUUCACUUUGAUGUUGCUAUAUUGAUCUGUCGUAGUUGGAUGAGGUGGUUGUGGUUUAUGAUACAUAACCGAUCAGCUUUUUCUGUUGGCUAACGUGUUUGUGUAAUCGAUUCUUGUAUAGGUCUCUUUGAUUUGAAAGGUAGAAACUUACAGAGAUCAGACUUGAUUGAACUGAACUAAUUUUGCAUUGCAAAGAACAGACACAUGUCGUCAUCAAGGCUUCAGUGGUCCAACAAUUGCGAUGCUCUUCUAGGUCUAUGGAUAUAUAUACUAUACUCCAGCAGAAAUGGGCACAUCUAGAAAGAGGUCGAUGGAUCUUAGAGGAUACAAAUGACCUGCGCUGAUGUCCAAGUGCACCAUUACCGCCAUAAUGUUGUGGAAGUUGUUCAAAAUUAUUGAUUUAUAGAUGUUAUUGUUGCCUCUAGAGUUGAUGUACAAGUCCGAUACAAAUAAGUCGUUUUAGCCUUUUAAGUUGGGUCAAGUUUUACCGCUAAAUCUAGCUUGUCAGCAUAACAAUAAUGGUUAUCCAACACUUUGUAAAGGAUAUGAUUGACUAGAAUGAAAACUUCUAUUGAGCCAUACAGAGUAUUAUUGUAAUUAUAGCUUAAAAUUAUUAUAUGAUAUGAUGUAUAAUUUUAUUUAUUUUUGAAUAAUGUAUUUCAAAAAGAAUAUG